AUUAGACGAAUCAUCUGGAAAGAUGAAUCAAAGAAGGUAAUAAUCCUGUAGUCGAAAAUGUUGUCUCUCUUGAGUGGAUCCUGAGUACGACGGAGCACGUGAAAUUCCGUCGGAAUCUGGGAGGACCAUCUCCUAAGGCUAAAUACUCUCUAGUGACCGAUAGUGAACCAGUACCGUGAGGGAAAGGUGAAAAGCACCCCGGAAGGGGAGUGAAAUAGAACCUGAAACCGUGUGCUUACAAGUAGUCAGAGCCCGUUAAUGGGUGAUGGCGUGCCUUUUGUAGAAUGAACCGGCGAGUUACGAUUUGAUGCAAGGUUAAGCAGUAAAUGUGGAGCCGUAGCGAAAGCGAGUCUGAAUAGGGCGUUUAGUAUUUGGUCGUAGACCCGAAACCAGGUGAUCUACCCUUGGUCAGGUUGAAGUUCAGGUAACACUGAAUGGAGGACCGAACCGACUUACGUUGAAAAGUGAGCGGAUGAACUGAGGGUAGCGGAGAAAUUCCAAUCGAACCUGGAGAUAGCUGGUUCUCUCCGAAAUAGCUUUAGGGCUAGCCUCAAGUGAUGAUUAUUGGAGGUAGA
rnacentral:rRNA from 1 species